GGCUGGUCCAAGUGCAGUUUAACAACCAAUGAUCACAACCAGUUACAGAUUCCUUUAGCUGCUUCACUUGACUAGCCUUAA
rnacentral:Y_RNA from 1 species